rnacentral:rRNA from 1 species
UACAAAGGGUUGCGAAACCGCGAGGUCAGGCUAAUCCCAAAAAAUGCAUCUCAGUUCGGAUUGGAGUCUGCAACUCGACUCCAUGAAGUCGGAAUCGCUAGUAAUUCCAGAUCAGCAUGCUGGGGUGAAUACGUUCCCGGGUCUUGUACACACCGCCCGUCACACCAUGGGAGUCGGGAAUGCCCGAAGUCAGUGGCCCAACCGGAAGGGGGGAGCUGCCGAAGGCAGGCCCGGUGACCUGGGGUGAAGUCGUAACAAGGUAAC